UUUCAUUUCAAGAAAUAAUAUGGGUUCUGGAGGAGAAGCCAAUUUCACAGUCACGGUGAUCAGGAAGGAGGUGGUGGCAGCAGUACUACCACUGCAAGAGCAUUGGUUGCCACUCUCCAACCUGGAUUUGCUUCUUCCUCCACUUGAUGUUGGUGUUUUCCUCUGUUACAAGUCACAGAAGGACAUCAAUCCAAUGGUGAGUUUUGGGUCCAUGGUUGGGGUUCUGAAGAAGGCCAUGGCUCAAGUUCUGGUGUCCUACUAUGCCUUUGCUGGUGAGGUUGUAGCCAAUCCUUUGGGUGAGCCUGAGCUUCUGUGCAACAACCGUGGUGUGGACUUCUCUGAGGCUUUUGCUGAUAUUGAGCUUAAAGACCUCAACUUUUAUAACCCUGAUGAGAGUGUAGAAGGUAAACUUGUGCCUAGGAAGAAGAAUGGUGUGCUUUCUGUUCAGGCAACAGAACUGAAAUGUGGAGGUCUUGUAGUGGCAUGCACCUUCGACCACCGCAUAGCAGAUGCCUACUCAACCAACAUGUUUCUUGUAUCAUGGGCAGAGACAGCUCAAUCAAAGCCAAUAUCAAUCCUCCCAUCCUUCAGGCGAUCUUUGCUAAGCCCUAGACUUUCUGCUGGUUGCUUCGACCCUUCUAUAGACGAAAUGUUUGUGCCCAUCUCCUCAUUCUUACCUCCCAAAGAUCAGCCUGAGGCCAAUCCUGACGAUCAUCUUAUAAGUCGAAUAUAUUAUGUUAAAGCCCACGAGCUUACUCGACUACAGUCGCUUGCUAGCUCUAAUGGGUACAAGAGGACUAAGCUUGAGUCAUUCAGUGCAUUCCUGUGGCAAUUAAUCGCCAAAUGUGCUAGUAACGAAGAAAAUAGCACUACUGAAAGAACAAAGAUAUCAAAAAUGGGGAUUGUUGUGGAUGGGAGGAGUAGAUUAAGUGAUAAAACAACUACUGAGAAGGCAAUACAAAUGGCUACAUACUUCGGAAAUGUGCUUUCCCUUCCUUAUGUUUGCAAGAGAGUUGAAGAACUUACUGAACUUCCAUUGAGUAGGGUGGCAAAUAAUGUCCAUAACUGCUUGGAAAAAGCAGCGACAAAGGAGCAUUUCUGGGCGCUGAUUGAUUGGGUAGAGGCUCAUAGGCCCGUGUCAGUAGUGGCUAAAAUAUAUACUAGAGCUAGGUAUGAUGGACCAGCCUUUGUGAUCUCAUCAGGGCAAAGGUUUCCAGUUUCGAAGUUGGAUUUUGGGUGGGGUGUGCCUGUUUUUGGGUCUUAUCAUUUUCCUUGGGGAGGCAACACCGGAUAUGUUAUGCCGAUGACAAGUCCGGGGGAGAACGGUGACUGGGUAUUGUAUAUGCACCUUUUCAGAGAGCAACUUGAAUUCUUGGAGGCUGAGGCUGCUCAUUUUUUUAAGCCCUUGAAUUGCGAUGAUUAUCUUAACCAAUAAUUACAUCAAACUAGCUUAUCAUGGUGUGUUUAAAUGAACCUUGUUUGUCUUUGAUUUGUACAUAUGAUCAAUGGAUAUCUUUGCGCUUUGCAGAUGUGAGUUAG
rnacentral:misc_RNA from 1 species